GUCUGAAGAAAGCCAUCACAUGCAUGUGCCACACAUAUGUACGUAAGUGUUGUGUUGCGUUUGAAUUAAUUAAUAUAUAUAGCUAAUAUGCAACUUUGAUGGCACAUGCUUUGUAACGGAAAAGCCCCCUCCCCCACAAGAGCGAGGGUUCAUGGCGCGUAUAGCUAGUCCGUCGAGCGCGGAUGUGAACGAUUCACGCGUACGUAUCCCUGCGCUCAGACUUUGGUAAUUAAGUAGGAAACUCAUUGACCUAAUAUAUAUAUACCAUAACACAAACCAAGAAGCAUCCACCAUGGUAAGCAUUCUCUCGUUGUCAGUCAAUGUGAUGCACAUGCACGCGAUCCCAUGAAUGGCUUCCCAUUGACAAC
rnacentral:lncRNA from 1 species